GAAGAACGAAACGCAACGCUGUCCCUCGCUCGCUUGCUGGUCCUCGUCUUCGUUUUGUGGCUUCCGUUUCUCAUCUUUCUUUCCACACUGGAUUGUUAUUUUUUCGUAUAUAUUUUCUUCUCUCUAUAAAUAUCUCAAAUAUUCUCCUCUGUAUACCUUUUUUUGAAUUUCGUUUCCGGAUUUGAUCUUCCAAAUAUUCCAACGAAACCCUCGCUUGUUCAUGCUCUGACCGAUCUCCGCAAAUUCGAUCCACUUGAUCUUUCGACAUGGAGCGCGUAAUCGGCGGCAAGUACAAGCUUGGCCGCAAGAUCGGCAGCGGAUCGUUCGGCGAAAUCUACCUCGCUACUCAUAUUGAGACCUUCGAAAUCGUCGCCGUCAAAAUUGAAAACAAUAAAACGAAGCAUCCGCAACUGCUUUAUGAGGCAAAAUUAUAUAAUAUUCUUCAGGGAGGAAGCGGUAUUCCUGCUACCAAAUGGUCUGGUAUAGACGGGGAGGAGAAUGUGCUUGUCCUUGAUUUACUGGGACCAAGUCUCGAAGAUCUCUUUGUAUAUUGUGGGAGGAAGUUCUCGCUGAAGACAGUCUUGAUGUUGGCUGAUCAAAUGAUCACAAGAAUAGAGUACGUGCAUUCCAAAGGAUUUCUGCACAGAGACAUAAAACCUGAUAACUUCCUCAUGGGCCUUGGACGUAAAGCAAAUCAGGUUUACAUUAUAGAUUUUGGAUUGGCCAAAAGAUAUCGAGAUGCAACCACCAACCGACAUAUCCCCUACAGGGAAAACAAAAACCUAACAGGGACAGCUCGUUAUGCUAGUUGCAAUACUCAUCUUGGAAUCGAGCAAAGUCGGCGGGAUGAUUUGGAGUCUCUUGGAUAUGUGCUUCUAUACUUUUUGAGAGGAAGCCUUCCAUGGCAAGGAUUAAAAGCUGCCACGAAGAAACAAAAAUAUGAUAAAAUAUGCGAAAAGAAGUUAUCUACCCCUAUUGAGGUUUUAUGCAAAUCUCAUCCGGUGGAGUUUGCUUCAUACUUCCAUUACUGCCACUCUCUGACAUUUGAUCAGCGACCUGAUUAUGGGUUCUUAAAGCGAUUGUUCCGUGACUUAUUUGCACGUGAAGAAUAUGAGUUUGAUUACGUUUUUGAUUGGACAAUCAUUAAGUACCAGCAGUCACAGAAGAACAGAACUCAGCCACGAGUAGCUCCGGUUCUUGGUGGUACACAUAAUCACGAAAUGCCUACAGAAGUGGAAAAUCGUCAAGGCACGUUUAAUUCUUAUUCAGCUGAGGUUACAGAUCGUGUUAGAUCUGACAAUGUUUCAAGUCCUGCCGUGCGACUGCAUUUUAAACAACCAACUCCAAAGAAUUUAAGUUCUGAUAAUGCUCUUGAUAUGAAUAUUCUAAAUGAUGCCCGCAUGGCCACUUCAUCAUUUACACCAGCUGGUAGCUCAAGAGGAAAUUCUUCUAAACCUUUGCAGUCCACCGAAUCUCCAAACCCCGUUCAUGGAAAUGGUCACAGGAUUGGUCCUUCAAGUAGCUGGAUUUCAUCAUUGCAGAGAAUUUCAUCUGCCAAGUAAUUAAAAUGAAACAGAUCCAGUCAGGACUAUUCUUAAACUACAUCUAUAUGAAGCUGCAAAUUGUGAUGAUUUGUUGUUAUCUUUCUGCAAUGUAAUCGAAGAGAUUCUGGUGAUUUAUUGGCAGAAGCUGCAACACGCUUGCCCGUUUAAUGACUGUGAUAUUUUCCCUUCAGAUUUGUCGAAUAAGAAGAUUAUGGCAGGGAAGGGAUAGUAUGUGGCAGCUAUUGAAUGACAGGUUUUGGACAAAAUGUUCGUGCAACUUUUGGCUUACAGCUCUCGAAAUCUGCAUUUUACUAGCAAGCAAAGCUGCAAGCAUUGAUCUGAUUGAUCUGAACCAUCUAUCUCGGCAACCAUAGCUCUGUUGAGAAAGUGAUCAUCUAUGCUAUUGUUCGACUGCAAAAUUUUACUGUCGAAAAUUGUGAACCUGGUAAUUUAUAUGCUUAGUUUCUUUAUCAUAUGGAUUUGAAUUGUCGAAAAUUAGGUUGUCGUGGAAUCCGUUUUAGGCAUUACAAAGACAAAAGAACCCUUUGGACGUUGCUAA